rnacentral:ncRNA from 13 species
ACCGUCCUUAUCUUGGGGUUGUGCUGCUGUUCGAUGAACGUGUAGUGAGAGCAGCACUGCUAACGCCAUCACAACACUGCGCAUCACCUGGACCCUGAGUCCAGUUACUGGUGCAAUUUUUGGAACC